UGGUAGAAUCAUUAGCCCACACCGUAGCAGACUUGCCCCAAACAUGGUGGAAGCUUUGAUGUGUAUGCAAGCUUGGUCUCGAGCUGAUAUGUUAGGCCCUGAAUCUUCAGCUCUUAAUGCAUUGAUGACAUGUCUUGAUGAUGAAGAAGAAGGCUUGGAAAAUUUGGAGUCUGAAAUCAUUGAUACAUGAUCCAUUAUACCAUGACUUGUGAGAUGGAUGGACUGCUGGAUGGUGGAUUGGUGGA